GACGAACGCUGGCGGCGUGCCUAAUACAUGCAAGUAGAACGCACAGUUUAUACCGUAGCUUGCUCCACCAUAGACUGUGAGUUGCGAACGGGUGAGUAACGCGUAGGUAACCUGCCUGGUAGCGGGGGAUAACUAUUGGAAACGAUAGCUAAUACCGCAUAAUAUUAAUUAUUGCAUGAUAAUUAAUUGAAAGGUGCAAUUGCACCACUACCAGAUGGACCUGCGUUGUAUUAGCUAGUAGGUGAGGUAACGGCUCACCUAGGCGACGAUACAUAGCCGACCUGAGAGGGUGAUCGGCCACACUGGGACUGAGACACGGCCCAGACUCCUACGGGAGGCAGCAGUAGGGAAUCUUCGGCAAUGGACGAAAGUCUGACCGAGCAACGCCGCGUGAGUGAAGAAGGUUUUCGGAUCGUAAAGCUCUGUUGUAAGAGAAGAACGGGUGUGAGAGUGGAAAGUUCACACUGUGACGGUAUCUGACCAGAAAGGGACGGCUAACUACGUG
rnacentral:rRNA from 1 species